rnacentral:rRNA from 1 species
UACGUAGGGCGCAAGCGUUGUCCGGAAUUAUUGGGCGUAAAGAGCUCGUAGGCGGUUUGUCGCGUCUGUCGUGAAAGCUUGGGGCUUAACCCCAAGUCUGCGGUGGAUACGGGCAGACUAGAGGCAGGUAGGGGAGAACGGAAUUCCCGGUGUAGCGGUGAAAUGCGCAGAUAUCGGGAGGAACACCGGUGGCGAAGGCGGUUCUCUGGGCCCGUACUGACGCUGAGGAGCGAAAGCGUGGGGAGCGAACAGG